AGGCAAAUCGAUGGAGGUUCAACGAAAUCAGAGGUAAUAGCUUAUAUCCACCUUCAGUAACUGCACUAGAUGCUUUGCCAAUAAAUUGAAGCACGUCUACAUACUUCUACAUACAAAAAAGGCAUUUAGGCAUCAAACGUCCAAAAAUCUGUUCAGUGAAAAGACCUCCAAUGUAAUAAAAUUAUACUGAAAUGAUGGCAUCUCCUAAGGUAAAGUGUUCCAGAAGCCAGAUUUCAGGGUAAUGAGUAUUUCAGGGAGAACACCAUUACAGGUGGAGGAAAGUUAUCCUCCUUGUUGAGAGACCUUGCUGAAAAGUUGCGAAAAGCGUGUAACUAUAUGUAAUGCUUUAAGCAAGAAAGAUGUGACUUCGAAACACCUCUGGUUGAGUUAUAAAGACAUAAAGAGUUAAGUAGGUACCUAUGGAAUCCGAUUAAAAUUUUUGAUUAUUUUCUGCAAUAACUCUUAAUAAAAGAUAAAAGUAGGAAGAGAAGAUAGCAUUUCAUCUUAAUUAACCAUUGUACUGAAUAUGUUUCUCUUCAUCCAGAAUGAUUAAAUACACAAGGACGUCAAUUGAUAUAUAUUGUCGCCAAAUGGACUGCAUUUAUUGUAUUUUUUACUUAAUAGUAACGUAUAAAAAUAAAAAUCAAUAAACGACUC
rnacentral:lncRNA from 1 species